rnacentral:rRNA from 1 species
CAGCCGCCGCGGGAAUACGGAGGGGGCUAGCGUUGUUCGGAAUUACUGGGCGUAAAGCGUACGUAGGCGGCUUUGUAAGUUAGAGGUGAAAGCCUGGUGCUCAACACCAGAACUGCCUUUAAGACUGCAUCGCUUGAACGUCGGAGAGGUGAGUGGAAUUCCGAGUGUAGAGGUGAAAUUCGUAGAUAUUCGGAAGAACACCAGUGGCGAAGGCGGCUCACUGGACGACUGUUGACGCUGAGGUACGAAAGCGUGGGGAGCAAACAGGAUUAGAGACCCCAGUAGUCCCUGUCUCUUAUAC